GACGAACGCUGGCGGCGUGCUUAACACAUGCAAGUCGAACGGAAAGGCCCUGCUUUUGUGGGGUGCUCGAGUGGCGAACGGGUGAGUAACACGUGAGUAACCUGCCCUUGACUUUGGGGUACCUUCAGGAAACUGGGGCUCAUACCGGAUAUGAGCUCCUGCUACAUAGUGGGUGUUGGAGAGUUUCGCCGGUUCGGGAUGGACUCGCGGCGUAUCAGCUUGUUGGUUGGGUAGUGGCUUACCAAGGCUUUGACGGGUAGCCGGACUGAGAGGGUGACCGGCCACAUUGGGACUGAGAUAGGGCCCAGACUGCUACGGGAGGCAGCGGUGGGGAAUAUUGCACAAUGGGCGGAAGCCUGAUGCAGCAACGCCGCGUGCGGGAUGACUGCCUUCGGGUUGUAAACCGCGUUCGCCUGUGACGAAGCGUGAGUGACGGUAAUGGGUAAAGAAGCACCGGCUAACUACGUG
rnacentral:rRNA from 1 species